CCCACGCGUACUCAAGUCCUCCCCCAAUUGGUCUCCCUAUGUUUCCCUCAGGAAAAACAUGUUAGCGUAAUUUCCUCCAAGAUUUGACGUACGCGAGGGGUCUUCUUGGUCAAUUGCCUCCAAUUCAAUCAGCCAGGUGCAUGCUGCAGAAGUCGCAUGUGCCUAUAGCAUCUCUGGCGCACCAUAUAGGUAUGCGACUCCAUGGCUCCGUAGCACGCAGCAGCAAUGGCCCAAGUUUGCACCAUCAUGUCAGAUUUGGGCGGCCAUCCUUCGUGGUGUUGGCUGAAACUCUUCGCUCAACUUCAAAACAAGUUUCAGUUAUUUGAUCUAAGGGGUGUUGGUCGUCCAAGACUGAUUUGAUUCAGAUUGUCGGUUUGACGCAAUAAUCAAAAUUAUUCAUAUACGUGUCAUUCUUCAACACAAGGCUGGGGUGAAUAUAUUCUGCAGGGCAUACGGCAGGGAAUCGGCUUUUGUCAUGGCAUACUGCCCGAGCUUGCAAGAGGAGGUGGAGCAGCAAGACGAGGAUGACGCAGGAUGUAUUCACACUCUUCCAUGUGGUCAGGCCGCGAACAUUCAUGCUGGAGUCCUGUGUUAAAUCUAACAUAUGUUCUCUGUACUUUUUCUAUGUUAAUCUCAUUUACACUCCAGGGUAAAAACAAGAUCUUAUAUGCACAACUAUUACAAUAAUAAUAGGCCAGUAUAAGGAUAAGAAGUAUCCUUCUAUUUCAAAGAAAAUGAAUGUUUAUUUGAGAUAUUAACUUCCCGUGAGGUGUGAUGCAAGGAAGCAUGAUGAAAUCAACAUUACAAAUAUGUAUUUUUAAGUUUCGGCUA